rnacentral:rRNA from 1 species
UACGGGGGGGGCAAGCGUUGUUCGGAAUUACUGGGCGUAAAGGGCUCGUAGGCGGCCAUCUAAGUCGGACGUGAAAUCCCCUCGGCUCAACCGAGGAACUGCGUCUGAUACUGGAAGGCUUGAAUCCGGGAGAGGGAUGUGGAAUUCCAGGUGUAGCGGUGAAAUGCGUAGAUAUCGUAAGGAAGACCAGUGGCGAAGGCGGGUCUCUGGACAGUUCCUGACGCUGAGGCACGAAGGCCAGGGG